rnacentral:rRNA from 1 species
UACAGAGGGGGCAAGCGUUAUUCGGAAUUAUUGGGCGUAAAGGGCGCGUAGGCGGCUUGGCAAGUGGAUGGUGAAAUCCCUCGGCUUAACCGAGGAACUGCCGUCCAAACUGCUUUGCUUGAGGUCGGGAGAGGUGAGUGGAAUUCCCAGUGUAGCGGUGAAAUGCGUAGAUAUUGGGAGGAACACCAGUGGCGAAGGCGGCUCACUGGACCGGUACUGACGCCGAUGCGCGAAAGCGUGGGGAGCAAACGGG